GAAAUGGCAACAGUGAAGCAGAGCUUGAUUUGGCCCCGUAAUCAGCACACAGAAGUGGUUAAAAGGAGUCGGGCCAGAAAAUGUACUAUGGAAAACAACGUGUAGUUACCUAAGAACAUGUUGGAACCUGUGUUUCUCUUAGUCCUCAGUGGCAUUCUAAUUUAGAAUGCAAAAACUCAGAUGCCCUUGACGGUCUACUAAACAAUAAAAGUUUUCUUGUCUCUGACUUUUUUGUUUGUUUGUUUGUUUGUUUUUGUCUUUUUCUGGUACCGGGAAUCGAACUCAUGAUCUCACACUUGCCAGGCAGGUGCUGUGCCACUGAGCUAAAUCCCCAGCCCCUCUCUGACUUUUUUGGGAAACAAAUUAAUUCGGUCCUGAUCUUCUUUAGGCAUAGACUGAGGAAAUGAGCAGAAACGACUGGCUCACACCCCACAGGCUUACUUCAGCGUAAACAUUUAGAGUUUGCGUCUGUCUCUAAAAUUCCUACGGAUAAGUGAGAGUGUGUGAGCAUUAGUUCUAUUAUGUAGGUACAAAAGUCAUUCAGUUUAUUAAUAGUAUGUGUGCGUAUUCAUGUCUCCUGUCAGGAAGGGCAAACGAAGUGGAUUUCCUUAGGAGUAGGAGGGAUCAUACAAGGUCUGUUUACUUGUAAGUACCCCAAGUACUUCAGAUCAGCUCGAAUUUCUGAAGUCCUCUGCUUCCCCUCGGGUCUCAGCUUCAGUGUCCUCAGUCUUUCCCUGACAUCCCUGGCGCGCCCCAGACUGUUCAUGGUGAACCUUCUAGAGCUUUUAGAAAUUACAAACAGCCCGCUGUGGCAUCCAUGCCACAGACCCUGCUGCCCUCUACUCUCACCUUCAUCCUUUGGUGUCUUAUCGGACAUGCUGGCUGCAAACCCCUUUUUAGAAGGUGGACUGUUUGCCCAGGACCCGGUGUACACCGACGUGCACUCGUAAACUUAAUUAGCAGUGCCCUAACUGAUGCCUGGACUGACCCCCCGCUGCUUGACUCUAUUAUUCACUCCAUGCAAGACCAGUCUAAAAUCAUUUCUCUUCCUAACAACCUUUACUGGUUUUCUUUUGUAUUCCAGAUACAAUUUAAGCAUUUUAACAGCACCACAACCUCUCCGUGGGGCCAAAACUGCUUCCCUCGCAUGUAGGAGACACUGGGCUUGAGCCCCAGGACAACAAAUCAACAACAGCAGCAGCAAAAACCUUCAUUUCUGAAGUCCAAAAAUGGUUCAGCACAGGAAAAUUUCCCCGGCCCUCCCCGCACCAAAAAAGAAGAAAACUUUAACUUCGCUCUACUUCCAGGUGUGUAUAGAGAUCAUGCGUACGUUAUUUUCACAUUGGAAACAUUUUGGUUUGGAAUACUUCAAUGCAAGGCUUUGUCAAAGGAUAAGAAAGCUUAGCUUUUGUAUUUGAAUAUGUUUACUUGAAAAUUAUUAUAAUCGUCAACUAAACAAUAAUUUAAGGAAAAUGUAUUUAAAACAUUUGUAUUUGUAUGUACUCAAUACAGCAACAAACUUAUCUGCUCAAAAAUGACCAAAUCGCUGAGCAUGGUAGCACAUGUGUGUAAUUCCAGCCACUCAGGAAGUUUGAGUCCUGCGUGAGCUAUUUAUUUAUUUUUUGAGACAGGGUCUCACUAUGUAAUCCAGGCUGGCCUGGAACUCACUUUGUAGCCUAGGCUGGCCUCAAAUUCACAGCGCUCCUCCUGCUUCAGCCUCCCAAGUACUGGUGCUCACAAAGGUCUUGUCAUCCUGGGAAGUAGAAAUAACAGGGCAGAAGAGAUAUGUUAGAUGCUUCCCUGGCCCUGCUAUUUUUUCACUUCCUUUGCUGUACUGGCAAAUCGAGUUUUGGGUAGGCUGUUUGGUCAGCUGCAGGUCUUGCAUUACUCUGUGCUUUGGGGGUCAGCUUUUGUGCUUCGGUUUUGUGCAUAGGGGUAUGUCCUAGUGGAUUAGAUAGUUUUUUCCCCAUUGGUAGAAAAUUGGUACUUAAGGUAGUGACACGUGGUUAUAUUUCACUGGCUCCUCUAGCCAUGACCUCCCAAUCAUUGUAGAGUAGCCGGUACCUACCCCACUCCAAGAGCCUUGUGCAUAGAGUUCUGUUUCUAUAAUUUAAAAAUUAUGCUAAUAACAUUGCAGGCCAGGAAUGCUUGAUGUAAAGAACUCCACAUAGAUUCAAAUUCUUUUUUUUUUUUUUUUUUUUUUUUUUGCCGUACCGGGGAUCGAACUCACGACCUUGUGCUUGCCAGGCAGGCGCUUAUGCCACUGAGCUAUAGCCCCAGCCCCUCAAAUUCUUUUUGUUUCAUUGCUGAUUUUUUUCAUUUAUAUGCUCAUGCUAUACUACUUUCACUGCUUCAGGAUUUUGUGUUGCCUCACUCAUUUUAUUAAUUCCUCUGUUUAAUAUUAUUUAUUGUAUAUGUAGAGCAUGCAGAGCAUCCAUGCAAUCUUUGUGGCUUUGGACAAAAUUUUUACUAUGGAUAAUUUAGAAUUAUUCUGUUCAGUGUGGAAGCCACUAGCCACAUGUGAUUUUUGAUCACCCGAAAUGAAGGUAGUCUGAAAUGAGAUACGCUGUACAGGAUGCAGCAGAUUUUAAAGACGCAUCACGAAAACAGGAAAUGUAAAACAUUUCACUGAUAACUUUUAUAUUAGUUCCAUACUAAAAUACUAUUUUUGCUAUAUUAGGUCAAAUUAAAUAUAUUAUUUAAUAAUACCUAUUUAGGAGCCCAGGAAAUAGCUCAGUGGCACUGUCCCUGCCUGGCAAGUGCAAGGUUCUGAGCUUGAUUCCCCUACCCUCCCCCACCAAAAAAGCUUAAGAAUAACACCUAUUUAUAACUUUUCUUUUUGCUGUGCUUUGCUAGAAAUCUCAAUAUUGCAUAUUACAGCCAGCAUUAUAUUUUUGCUGGAUAAUGCUACCUUUUGGAUUGUACUAGUAUGUUUAUUCUUUCCAUAAAAGAUUAUGAGUCAUGGUUAUUGAGCCCUCUUUUAUUUUUGUUUCAAUUUUGAUAAUAGCAUACUUCAAAAAUCCCAUUAAUUUUUGUCAAUUUGCUACACUAUUUCUAAAUAAAUUUGGAACCUGGGUGCAUGUCUCUGGACAACCAUAUUCAUUAAUAACAAAGUAACAUUUGUUUUGUUUUGUUUUGUUUUUUCCAGUACUGGGAAUCGAACUCAUGACCUUGUACUUGCCAGGCAGAUGCUGUGCCGCUGAGCUAAAUCCCCAAUCCCCCAAAGUAACAUUUGUAAAGUGACGAAUAUUACCCAGAAAUCUUGAUUCGGUAUUCCCAACAAUUAUGCUUGAAUUUUUACAUAAGUUACUAAAACUUUAAAGGAAAUCUUUAUUGGUUUUGUUUUGUUUUUUAACCUUUAUAGCUAUACAGACAUGAGGUCAUGGUACUUGCAUGAUGUAAUAGAUUGUGAAAUAUGAAAGAAAUAAAAACUCAAUCUUGAGCAUUUAGUCAUUUGUGAAACUAUAGAUAGAUAAGUAUAGACCAGCCUGGGCUACAAAGUGAGCUUAAGGCCAGCCUGAACUGCAUAGCGAGACCCUGUUUCAAAAAAGACCAAGAAACAAACCAAAAAAAGGAGGUAGAAGCAUGAUUUUUAGCUAAGAAGUAUGAUACACAUCUCGACAAGGCACGUGUUUCUGUAGUGUAGUGGUUAUUAUGUUUGCCUGACACAUCUAGACAAGGCUAGCCUCUUAAUAGGAACCCAGAAUGAGAAAUAGUUGUUUCUGUUUUUGUUUUUUUUUCUUCUGAGACAAAGUAUUGCUAAAUUGUCCAGGUUUUAUCAUCCUGCUUCAGCAUUCCAAGUAGUUGGGAUUACAAGUGUGUACCACAAUACCUAGUUUUUUUCAUUCCUUUUUGUUAGUAACUCUCAAUUAUUUUUGUAUUAUACUUCUUGGGAAAAUAACCAGUCUUGCCAGGUAUGGUGGCAUAUGCCUGCAGUCCCAGCACUUGGGAGGCUGAGGCAGGGGGAUUGAUGUGAGUUUGAGGCUAGCCCGUGGUACAUAGUGAGUUCAAGAUCAGCCUGAACUAUAUACCAAGACCGUCUUAACACCCCUCCCCAAAAGACAAGUCUGAGAAUAUUAAGCUUUGAUUAUGGCUUCUCAUACAUUCUCAUACUUUGAGAAAAGAUAAAGAAGUCUGAGACAUAUUUUUGUGUUCAAGAAAAAUAUAUAAAUGAUAUAAUUACCAAUAUGUAUGGAAGGGCAUCUGUGAGAAUUCCACAGCAAACGUAUGUAAUGAUUAUACUUUAGAAAUAUUCUCAAUAAAGUCUGGAAGAAGACAAAAUGAAGAGUGAGGGCAAAUAUAUCCACUGCCACCUGUCUUGUUUAUGUUCCGCAAAGUCUUAAGCUGAGAGAAAUCAAAGUGGAAAAAAAGACAUGUUGAUAAUGAUAUGGUAUAAUAUAUAUACUAUUUCUCUAAAUCAGUUACAUCUAUCAUGAAAAUACAGUUGAAAAUAAACUUUUAAUGUGUUAUAUAGAAAUUAACUUAACAAUGUACAAGGUCUUUAUGAUGCAAAUUUUAAAAUUCUAUUAAAAGACAUAAAGUAUGGACUAAAUGUUUGGUGUUUUGUUUGUUUGGUUUUUCUUCUGGUACCAGGAAUCGAACUCACGACCUUGCGCUUGCCAGGCAGGCGCUUUGCCACUGAGCUACAUCCCCAGCCCCAGCAUGGAAUACAUGGAGAAACAACUUUUAAUAAGUGGGUUAUUUAGGGGAGCACCAAGACGGUGGGGUGCCUUACAAGGAAAUCCGAAGGAGUCUU
rnacentral:lncRNA from 1 species